UACGAAGGGGGGCUAGCGUUGCUCGGAAUUACUGGGCGUAAAGCGCACGUAGGCGGACUGUUAAGUCGGGGGGUGAAAUCCUGGGGCUCAACCUCAGAAUUGCCUCCGAUACUGGCAGUCUCGAGUGCGGGAGAGGUGAGUGGAAUUCCCAGUGUAGAGGUGAAAUUCGUAGAUAUUGGGAAGAACACCGGUGGCGAAGGCGGGUCCUCUGGGCCGGA
rnacentral:rRNA from 1 species